rnacentral:rRNA from 1 species
GAUGAACGCUAGCGGCAGGCCUAACACAUGCAAGUCGAGGGGUAGAAGGAGCUUGCCCCUUUGAGACCGGCGCACGGGUGCGUAACGCGUAUGCAAUCUACCUUUUACAGAGGGAUAGCCCAGAGAAAUUUGGAUUAAUACCUCAUAGUAUAUAUCAUUCGCAUGUUUGGUAUAUUAAAGUUCCAACGGUAAAAGAUGAGCAUGCGUCCCAUUAGUUAGCUGGUAAGGUAACGGCUUACCAAGACGAUGAUGGGUAGGGGUCCUGAGAGGGAGAUCCCCCACACUGGUACUGAGACACGGACCAGACUCCUACGGGAGGCAGCAGUGAGGAAUAUUGGUCAAUGGACGCAAGUCUGAACCAGCCAUGCCGCGUGCAGGAAGACGGUCCUAUGGAUUGUAAACUGCUUUUGUACGGGAAGAAACACUCCUACGUGUAGGAGCCUGACGGUACCGUAAGAAUAAGGAUCGGCUAACUCCGUGCCAGCAGCCGCCGUAAGAC